AUGCUAAUCAGGCCGCCAAGGAUGCGGCUAAGCUUGCGGAUGAGGCUGUUGAUCGUGCUUAUGAUGAGAGGGUUUUUGGCUUAUGAGGAGGCUCUUCAGACGUAUCAUGGUGCUCUGUCUGUUUACACCCAGUGGCUUGAUGAUGAUGCUCGUGCUGCAACUGUUCUCACUCUAGUGUUCUGCCUCAGUUUGCAUCUGAGUUUCUUGGUCUUCCUACUGUCUUUGAGAUGUGGACCUGUCUUCGUCAGCGCUAUGAGCCCUCUGGUGAUGCCCUAUACCUUUCUGUGGUCCGUCAGGAGCAUGCUCUUCAGCAGGGUGCGUGACUCUACUGUUGAUGACUUCUAUGCACAGAGUUCUACUAUCUGGCGCCAGCUUGAUUCUCUCUGCAGUGCUGGUUGUCGUACUUGCCCCUGUUGCCAGGCUGUCCAGGCCAAUUUGGAGUUUUGUCAUGUCUACGAGUUCCUGUCUCGGCUCCGUAAGGAGUUUGAGCCUCGGCGUGCUCUGUUGUUUGCUCGUGGCCGUAUUUCUCUCAUGGAGGCACUUUCUGAGAUUCGUGCUAAGGAGACUCGCUUACGUGGUGCUGGUUUGCUGGAGGUUCCCUCUGUGCUCGCUACUCGGGCUUCUUCCAUGCCACCUGCUGCACCGACCCCUUCUCGCUCGAGUGCUCCACCGCUCUUGCCCACUCCUUCUGGAGGCUCAGGUCGCCCCCGUCCACAUUGCGACUACUGCAACAAUGAUGGUCAUAUUGAGUCUCAGUGCUACAUGAAGAGGAAGCACCUGUGCAAGGCGCGAUCACCAUCUUCAGGGACUUCGUCAUCUACCUCGACAGCUUCAGCCAUUGCUUUGACUGAACAGGAUAUUCUAUGA
rnacentral:rRNA from 1 species